rnacentral:rRNA from 1 species
ACGUAGGUGGCAAGCGUUAUCCGGAUUUACUGGGUGUAAAGGGCGUGUAGGCGGUCUUGCAAGUCGGAAGUGAAAUUCCCGGGCUUAACCCGGGCGCUGCUCCCGAAACUGCGAGACUUGAGUACUGGAGAGGAUAGUGGAAUUCCUAGUGUGGGGGUAGAAGGCGGGUAGAGGAGGAGGAGCACCGGUGGCGAAGGCGGCUAACCGGACAGGAUCCGAUGUUGAGGCGCGAAAGCUUGUUGAGCAAAACG